AGGGCACCACCAGGAGUGGAGCCUGCGGCUUAAUUUGACUCAACACGGGAAAUCUCACCAGGCCCGGACACCGGAAGGAUUGACAGAUUGAGAGCUCUUUCUUGAUUCGGUGGGUGGUGGUGCAUGGCCGUUCUUAGUUGGUGGAGCGAUUUGUCCGGUUAAUUCCGAUAACGAACGAGACUCUGGCCUACUAACUAGACGUUGGAUCCCUUUGUGGGUCCAUCGCAGCUUCUUAGAGGGGCGGGCGGCGUUUAGCCGCACGAGAUUGAGCAAUAACAGGUCUGUGAUGCCCUUAGAUGUUCUGGGCUGCACGCGCGCUACACUGAAGGAAUCAGCGUGUGUUCCCUAUCCGAAAGGAUUGGGAAACCCGUUGAACCUCCUUCGUGAUGGGGAUUGGGGAUUGCAAUUAUUCCCCAUGAACGAGGAAUUCCCAGUAGGCGCGAGUCAUAAGCUUGCGUCGAUUACGUCCCUGCCCUUUGUACACACCGCCCGUCGCUACUACCGAUCGAGUGAUUUAGU
rnacentral:rRNA from 1 species